AAAAAGUAACUCGCACAGAAAGUCGUAUGCAGAUUCUUAGUAUUUUUUCUUUGCUGGGAGUAGAAGUCUAUCUCAAACUGUCAAACAGCAGAGAUAGGAACUCUACUAUGAAUUCUGAUAAUAGGUGCAAGCCAUUCUGUGUCUCAAAGGCUCUGGAAGGGAUUACAGAUUUAUUGAGCACAGAGGAUAUUACUCCAUGUCUUAAUGUGUUUGUUAGUCUUUGCUGACCAGGGAAGUAGCUAGCUAAAGCACUGAGCACUCUCAACUCUACUUUAGGCCUUUGAAUCCUUUAGCAUGUCAGUCAACAGCUGAUAAGAUUGGCAAGCACACUUCUUUGUUUAAAUAAGUAUUUACAUUAAACUUCAAUUUAACAUUGCUAGAUAUACUCAGAGUUAUUUGGGGUGGAUUCCAGGAAUCUUGCUAUUAACUCUAAUAAAUAUGGAAGAGAAAGCUACAAGUUUUUGGUGCGCAGUGUAGUUCUGUAAGAUGAGAUUCUCAUUCCCUAUACGCUUGGAUAGACACGCUUGAAAAUACAUGUUUUCUCCAACAUGUAUCUUCAUCUGGUCACAGAAGACUCAAGUGUCAUAACCUAUCAUGUUCAGAAAUAUCCCAGCAGUGCUUGGGGAGAGAAUAAUCAUUUUUUUUUUAAUUUAGUAUAACAGAAUAAAUGACACCAGUUCUGUACUGACCCAUUCCUGAUCUGGUAAAUUCCAUGUAAGGAAUCAGAAAAUAAUUCUCUUACUAUUCCUCUGUCAGGGCUGGGAAAAACUGGAAUGUGGCUUUUAGAACAUACAGCAAAUCUGUCAGAUUUCUCAUUUGUUUGCUUUUCUCCUCAGUAUGGCUACCUCCUACUUCAAAUUAGAUUACAAAUCUCCUCCAGAGCUGGACAGCAAGCUACUGCUGCCUUUGGAGAAGCUAAUAGGACAAUAUUGACAACCUACAUAUGUUCCCAUUGUAUUGUACAUAACUUCUACCACCAUGUAAAUAUGCUCACACAAGUAGAUGAGCUCAUACAUCAUCCACGCUCCCUAAUUUAGACAUAUCCAUAAGCUAGCAUACUUUUUAAUUGAAUAACUUCAGAUGGCUUUCUUAAUUCAACUUUGAUUGAAAAAGUCUUGAUGUGUGAGGUAAAGUAGGUGACAUACUUGCUAAAAUAUAGUUGAUCACACAGUCAAAAAAAAAAAGUGCACAAUAACCUUGCAUUUGCCUGUGCUAUAUGUCCUGUGGUUUAUCUGUGCUUAUGGGGAGAAAAGCAGUACAUAAGGGCUUCGUGUACGUAAGGGCUUCAUUUUCAGUUCCCUGAACUAAAAGAUCACAGGGUUGCUUGAAGGUAAUGAUGCUACUGAGACCCAGUAUCUUUCACUGGCAUUUUCUCGUAAAAAGCCUGAAUUCAAAUUGCUUACAAAUCUCAUCUGCCUUAGCAGGAAGAGGUGUUCAGCCCAAUAACAAUCGCUCUCCAUGCAAGAGAGGUAAAGGCUAUUGUGCCUGGCACGCUGUAUUUCAGUGUGCCAAGAAAAGAGAGAAUGCAUAUCAAAGUGUCCUUUCAACUGGAAAAAUGCACCCCUUUUGAGCUGAGCUGUCCUUGAUGGCCCUCUAAAACAAAAUUCACAGCAAUUAAUUUUGUUUCAAGUAUGGUCUUGAGGAUCCUUCUGUCCGGCAAUGCGGAUGUUGCCAAGAAUAUCUUCAUUUAAAUAUGAAGAACCUCACUAAAGGCAAGAACCGUCGUUUUCUAGGAUGCUCCCUGGGAGCAGCUGUUUGUGUUAUGCUGAUAUGGGGCUUACCAUCACCAGAGCCUUCUUAAUUCUACAAGAACCCAUGAACCUGAACAACCCGAUUAUUUUAGUGUAAGAUUUGGAAAUAAAACUGGAAAACUCAGUUCAUGUAAGCUUGGCAUCCCCCAGCAGGUCCUGGACAGCUUCCUCCCUGACAGAACACAAGUGAGGCAGAGCAGAGAGAAGAUCAGAAGAUGUGAAUGUGGUGAGGGUACACUCAGGGCUUGCUCAAAACAUGGAGGGGGUGGGCAGCGGGAGGGGUGUGAUUAACUCUCUCUAUAGUAAACCUGAAAAGAAGCUCAAGCUGAUUAGGGAAUCCGUUUAGCUGAAUGGAUAUUUGCUUCAAAUUUUCCAGACAAAUAGAUGGGCCUGAUCCUAUUCCUGAUACAAUUAAAGUAGAAAGCACAGAAAAAAAAAUAAUAAAGCUCUACAAAAGAACAGGAAUUGCAGUUAGCAGAAAAGAACACAGAACUCAGAUAAGAGAGUUGAUUUCUUUCAAAGACAGAGUAUAUUUUUCCAUUUUGUCUCUUUCCAGCUUUCCGCAUCAAGAGAGAGAUACCAAAAAGAUUAGCCUGAUAAAAUUGUUCAUGAAAUCUUAACAAUCUGUGAGAAUUACAAAGAACAAAGUUGAGACAAAUUGUACAAUGUGUGGACAAUGUAUAUGGAAAAUCUCUGUGGAAAAAUCAGAUGUUUGAGGGCAAAGGAGGAGGGAAAAGCAACUUGUUCCUGUGUUUGUACUUACAUGGUGAGCCAAGAUCAAAAGCAGCCUUAUCCUCCAUCUGGUCAUCUCCGGAAACUCUGAGUUGGAUUCAAGCUGAUUAUAGCAGCAACCUUCUGCACUCCUGAAAGAGUAACUUCUCCAACGCUUCUUUUCUUUUUUUUUCUCUUUCUUUCUUUUUUUUUUUUCCUAACAAACAAAUGAACAAAAACCA